CUCCUGGCCUUGACAUCCAGAGAACUUAGCAGAGAUGCUUUGGUGCCUUCGGGAACUCUGAGACAGGUGCUGCAUGGCUGUCGUCAGCUCGUGUUGUGAAAUGUUGGGUUAAGUCCCGCAACGAGCGCAACCCUUAUCCUUUGUUGCCAGCGGCUCGGCCGGGAACUCAAAGGAGACUGCCGGUGAUAAACCGGAGGAAGGUGGGGAUGACGUCAAGUCAUCAUGGCCCUUACGGCCAGGGCUACACACGUGCUACAAUGGCGCAUACAAAGAGAAGCGACCUCGCGAGAGCAAGCGGACCUCAUAAAGUGCGUCGUAGUCCGGAUUGGAGUCUGCAACUUCGACUCCAUGAAGUCGGAAUCGCUAGUAAUCGUAGAUCAGAAUGAUACGGGAAUAUGACGUC
rnacentral:rRNA from 1 species